CCCUAGACACCCAGGAACAUUUGGCGUUGCUUGACAACAGUUUGAGGCAGGAUAAAGAGCUCCAGCAACGAUUUCUUCGGUUUUUGGCAAUCAAAUGUGGGAGGGACCUAAAGACAACCGUGUGGCGAAUGCUUCAGAGUAUCUUCUCUAAUCACCUUUCCAUCAAUACAACCUGGACUGGUGUAGGGGAUAAAGCAUGUUUUAGAGACAUGUUCCUGAAGACCAUUGUUCAAAGAGCCAUCCGGAAGAACCCGGCAACACAGGAUGCCACUG